rnacentral:rRNA from 1 species
GAUGAACGCUGGCGGCGUGCCUAAUACAUGCAAGUCGAGCGAACGGACGAGAAGCUUGCUUCUCUGAUGUUAGCGGCGGACGGGUGAGUAGCACGUGGAUAACCUACCUAUAAGACUGGGAUAACUUCGGGAAACCGGAGCUAAUACCGGAUAAUAUUUUGAACCGCAUGGUUCAAAAGUGAAAGACGGUCUUGCUGUCACUUAUAGAUGGAUCCGCGCUGCAUUAGCUAGUUGGUAAGGUAACGGCUUACCAAGGCAACGAUGCAUAGCCGACCUGAGAGGGUGAUCGGCCACACUGGAACUGAGACACGGUCCAGACUCCUACGGGAGGCAGCAGUAGGGAAUCUUCCGCAAUGGGCGAAAGCCUGACGGAGCAACGCCGCGUGAGUGAUGAAGGUCUUCGGAUCGUAAAACCCUGUUAUUAGGGAAGAACAUAUGUGUAAGUAACUGUGCACAUCUUGACGGUACCUAAUCAGAAAGCCACGGCUAACUACGUG